AGUAAAUUGGUUAAGUUAGAAAGGGCGCACGGUGGAUGCCUUGGCACUAGGAGCCGAAGAAGGACGGGACUAACACCGAUAUGCUUUGGGGAGCUGUACGUAAGCGUUGAUCCAGAGAUUUCCGAAUGGGGGAACCCACUAUCUUUAGUCGGAUAGUAUCCUUACGUGAAUACAUAGCGUGAGGAAGGCAGACCCAGGGAACUGAAACAUCUAAGUACCUGGAGGAAGAGAAAGAAAAAUCGAUUUCCUGAGUAGCGGCGAGCGAAACGGAAAGAGCCCAAACCAAGAAGCUUGCUUCUUGGGGUUGUAGGACACUCUAUACGGAGUUACAAAAGAAAGUUAUAAAUGAAGCGGUCUGGAAAGGCCCGCCAAAGACGGUAACAGCCCGGUAGUUGAAAUAGCUUUCCCUCCAGAGUGGAUCCUGAGUACGGCGGAACACGUGAAAUUCCGUCGGAAUCCGGGAGGACCAUCUCCCAAGGCUAAAUACUCCCUAGUGACCGAUAGUGAACCAGUACCGUGAGGGAAAGGUGAAAAGCACCCCGGAAGGGGAGUGAAACAGUUCCUGAAACCGUGU
rnacentral:rRNA from 1 species